AGUAUAUUAUGGAAUUUUCGAUACGCGAAAUUAAGAAAGUUACGGAAACAUCCGUUGUUUAGUAGAGUUGUUUAAUACAGCAGUGUCUUUUAUGUACACAAAACGAAACACGAAUUAUAAUAUAAUAAAAGGAACAAUAAUAUUUAUUUUUAUCCAGUAAUUUUAUUUUCUGACCGAGGUGCGUAGGUAUAAUAAUAUAUCAUUAUAAGUCAUUAACUCUAAAAGAAAAAUCGUAAUGGUGUAGUCGUGCUACUGGACAAUAAAAAAAUAAUAUUA